rnacentral:rRNA from 1 species
UACGUAGGUGGCAAGCGUUAUCCGGAAUUAUUGGGCGUAAAGCGCUCGCAGGCGGUCUUUUAAGUCUGAUGUGAAAGCCCACGGCUCAACCGUGGAGGGUCAUUGGAAACUGGGAGACUUGAGUGCAGAAGAGGAGAGUGGAAUUCCACGUGUAGCGGUGAAAUGCGUAGAGAUGUGGAGGAACACCAGUGGCGAAGGCGACUCUCUGGUCUGUAACUGACGCUGAGGAGCGAAAGCGUGGGGAGCGAACAGG